UGUAGACAAAGGUAUGGAUGGCCAGCACAAUGGAGCUGAACUUCUGCAAAAUACAUGAUAUAAUCUGUCCACAUGGAUAUGCUGCCGAGAUGUAUUGAUUGAGCAGGUAUCAACGUUUAGGUUUCGGUGUCUGAUAUACAGAACUGGUUUGUCGGGUCCUUCUAUUCUGCAUGUUGUGCAUGGGGCCUGUGAAGAUGUGCUGUAGAAGGGAAGUGACCCUCUACACAUGUGACAUGAACUCCUAGGAAUUAACAUGUUCUGGUUAAGUGUAAUGGGAUCUAAUAUUCUAUGCUAUCAAACUUCUGUAUUACAUCUAAUUUCUGUAGGUAAUAUUCAAACUGUAAUGAAGAGAAAAUUAACUUGCAUCCGUUAAUGCCAUUGCACUUCGUAUCUUGUUGUUCA